AAUAAUAAUAAAAAAGGAAGAAACAAACAAACACUAUAACCUCCAAAGGCAAACACAACCUUGUACAAGAGCAUUAAACAACCCCAAAAAUCCAAGUCCUUAAAAAAAAUAAAUAAAUAAUAAUAAUAAUAAUAAUAAAUGGCCAUUUCAGCAAUGGCAGGGUGUAGCAUCUGACUUCCAGACCCUGCACAGCUCCUGGCAAUAUCUUUUGGUGGUUCAUGGCAAGUGACACUGCAGCAGACUGCCUGCUUAAAGUAUCUGUAGUACCUGUCUUGCAAACCCUGCAUUUCUCAGCUGUCUCCUUUUCCUUUGUGUACAGAAAUGUUACUGAAUGCUAACAAUCAACGGUUCCUAAUUAGCUCCUUUUGCUUUGAAGUAAGGUCCUUGUUAGCUUUGACUGACACUCUUAAUUGUGACUCUCUUGAGCUCUGUUUUUAAAAAUGUUUGCACACAUCAGUCAUUUGAUUUAAGUGACUUAUUCUUACCAUGUUUAAGUACUAAUCUGUGUAUCUGGAUUAUGGGGUUUGUUUUCUUCCUUAGACCCUGUGCCAUGGUUGAUCCUGACAUUGAACUGAUCUGUGAAAUUUUGUUGGUUGUUGAAAGGUUUAUUGAUAUGUGCUUAUUUGACAGCAAGUUUAGCACCUUGUAUACUCUCUGCAGGGAACUGUUCUCUAAACAGAGUGCACCUUGACAUCUUAAACUUCAGACAAGUAAAUGCCCAGCCUGCGAGAACAGGAAGGAGACAUGUUGCAUCUGUGCUGGAAGAACAGUGUGUGACCUCCUCCUGAAAUCCAUCCGUCCAGAGGAGUCAGCACCUUGUCUUUGUAAAUGAUGUCUAUGAGUGUGAGAUUGUCACUGGAGGAACCAAGGUGGAAAUGGAUCCAAAAGUUCAUGACAUCCUAUUCUCAAAGUAUCGUACUGGAGGUUUUACUUCUGGUGCAAAUUUUGCCAUGUAAAAAUAGAUGGGAUAUUAAAAAUUAGAUAUACACAUUUAACUUUUUUAUGCUUCUGACACUGACCUAAAAACACUGCAAGGCUACAGCGUAAACAGGGAACAAAAAGGUGCCACUUUAAAUAUACUGUUUUCUUAUACAUUACCACCUGGUUUAUUUUCCUGUGCUAACACAAUCCAUUAAAAUAUUUUCCAAGAACCACUGUGACUGGGGACUUCAUGCUAUCAAGUCAGUUCUGGUAGCUGCUGGCUUACUGAAAUGUAGAAAGAACAGACCUGAGGACCAGGUACAACCUUCAUUUACAAGCAGGAGUAAGAGUUGAUCCUGGUGUUCUGUCUGAAUAAAAACAGAAUCCUAAAAAGAGAAGGGUUUAAU
rnacentral:lncRNA from 1 species